UACGGGGGGAGCAAGCGUUGUUCGGAUUUACUGGGCGUAAAGGGCGCGUAGGCGGCCACCGCAAGUCGACUGUGAAAUCUCCGGGCUUAACCCGGAAAGGUCAGCCGAUACUGCGGGGCUAGAGUGCAGAAGGGACAACUGGAAUUCUCGGUGUAGCGGUGGAAUGCGCAGAUAUCAGGAGGAACACCAAUAGCGAAGGCAGCUCGCUGGGACGGUACUGACGCUAAGGUGCGAAAGCGUGGGGAGCGAACAGG
rnacentral:rRNA from 1 species